rnacentral:rRNA from 1 species
AGCGAACGCUGGCGGCAGGCCUAACACAUGCAAGUCGAACGAACUCUUCGGAGUUAGUGGCGGACGGGUGAGUAACACGUGGGAACGUGCCUUUAGGUUCGGAAUAACUCAGGGAAACUUGUGCUAAUACCGAAUGUGCCCUUCGGGGGAAAGAUUUAUCGCCGUUAGAGCGGCCCGCGUCUGAUUAGCUAGUUGGUGAGGUAAAGGCCCACCAAGGCGACGAUCAGUAGCUGGUCUGAGAGGAUGAUCAGCCACAUUGGGACUGAGACACGGCCCAAACUCCUCCGGGAGGAAGCAGUGGGGAAUCUUGCGCCAUAGGCGGAAGCCUGACGCAGCCAUGCCGCGUGAAUGAUGAAGGUCUUAGGAUUGUGAAAUUCUUUCACCGGGGACAAUAAUGACGGUACCCGGAGAAGAAGCCCCGGCUAACUUCGUG